CAAGGUCAGAAAAACCAAGGAAAGACCUCAGUGCCUUUACUUCCUCUAAGGCACCUCACUCAUACCACCAAUCUAAGCAUUUCCAGGGCCAAUGCCAACAAGCAGAGCGGCCACACAUCCAGGCCCCAGUUUACUACGUGGCUUCCAACUCACAAGAGCACAAGAGAAAACCCAGGCAUUCCCAGGCCACUGGAAGCUCUGAGGCUCGUCACCCCCAGUACUUUAAGAGUGACAAGUUGCCUGAACACGCCUCAGCUGUUACGGUGAUCCCUCCCUCGUUGGACAUUGAACAGGCAAUCAAACGUAUCAGUGAUCUCACGCAGCAGGUGGACGAUCUUAGACAGGAGCUGCAAGGUUCAUCAGGGCUCAGGUUAUCAACAAUUUCAAUUGGUGCUGGUGACAGAUGGGGUACUGGUGGAAACAUAGCUAGUGUUGGUCAGCAAAGAAGAAGGAAGACACGUCCAGGAAGAGAACAUGUGGAGAGCAUGUGCAGGACCCUGCAGAACUCUGACAUCUUUCUACACCACCAAUCAGAAGCAGGAAGAGAAAACAAUGAUCUCCACAAACAAA